GAUGAACGCUAGCGGGAGGCUUAAUACAUGCAAGUCGAGGGAGAAGCACAGUGCUUGCACUAUGUGGAAACCGGCGAACGGGUGCGUAACACGUACGCAACCUACCCUUUACAGAGGAAUAGCCCUGAGAAAUUGGGAUUAAUACCUCAUAGUAUUACUUUAAGGCAUCUUUUAGUAAUUAAAGUUCCGGCGGUAAAGGAUGGGCGUGCGGCUCAUUAGCUAGUUGGUAAGGUAAUGGCUUACCAAGGCAACGAUGAGUAGCCGGCGUGAGAGCGCGAUCGGCCACACUGGCACUGAGACACGGGCCAGACUCCUACGGGAGGCAGCAGUAGGGAAUAUUGGACAAUGGAGGAAACUCUGAUCCAGCCAUCCCGCGUGAAGGAUGACGGUCCUCUGGAUUGUAAACUUCUUUUAUAUGGGAAGAAACCUCGAGAUUUAUCUUGAGCUGACGGUACCAUAAGAAUAAGCACCGGCUAACUCCG
rnacentral:rRNA from 1 species